rnacentral:lncRNA from 1 species
AAGAAAUGUCCAGUUUUGAGCGAUUGUAGUGUGGAUGGAUUUUCUGGUUUUGUUAACUAUUUCAGGUUUUUAACAAAUGUUCAUGAAAGAAGCUAUUUGAUUUACUGCAGAGAAAAAUACUUUUUAGUCUGGAUUUCUGCCCUGCUUAGAUUUUUUUUUUUUAAGUAUAAGCAUGGAUUGCCAAUUCCACUUGAUGUAAACAAAACUUUUUAUACAUAAUAUAUAUAAUAACUUAUUGUAUCAGUCCAGGUUCAGAAACUUGUGGUAGGCCAGUUUCAGAUAGUUUCAUUUCACCUGUAAACUGUAUCACUUUUACUGAUAUUGUAAUUUUCAAAUGUAUAAUAUGUUUACAGAUGUGCCCUGCAUUUAGUCGCUUUGUUCCUAUUUUGAUUUUUUGUUUUUGUUGUUUGUUUUUGUUGUUGAGUCUCCUGCCUGCUUGCCAAAAGCUAGGAUGCUUCAGGCCGGUGUACAUCAGUGAGGCAUCCUUGAGCUUUAAAGCAUUGAACAAACUGGAAAAUGCAACACGCCACAUAUUGAACUGAGUCUGUGUUUUGUGUUCUUUUUUUUUUUUUUUAAUAAAAAUUUUCAGAAAAUUUAAAAAAAAAAUCUUGAUU